GCUGGGUGUGGUGGUGCACACCUGUAAUCCAUGGCUUGGGAGGCCGAGGCAGGAUAAUCAUGAGAUCAAAGCCAGUCUCAGCAACAGCAAGGCGCUAAGCAAUCCAGUGAGACCCUGUCUCUA
rnacentral:sRNA from 1 species